UACGUAGGCAGCGAGCGUUGUUCGGAGUUACUGGGCGUAAAGCGUGCGUAGGCGGCUUGUCGCGUCGACUGUGAAAUCCCGCGGCUCAACUGCGGGUCUGCAGUCGAUACGGGCAGGCUAGAGUUCGGUAGGGGAGACUGGAAUUCCUGGUGUAGCGGUGAAAUGCGCAGAUAUCAGGAGGAACACCGGUGGCGAAGGCGGGUCUCUGGGCCGAUACUGACGCUGAGGAGCGAAAGCGUGGGGAGCGAACAGG
rnacentral:rRNA from 1 species